GAUGAACGCUAGCGAUAGGCUUAACACAUGCAAGUCGAGGGGCAGCAUGGUCUUAGCUUGCUAAGACUGAUGGCGACCGGCGCACGGGUGCGUAACGCGUAUGCAACUUGCCUCACAGAGGGGGAUAACCCGUCGAAAGACGGACUAAUACCGCGUACACUUGGGAUAGGGCAUCCUGACCCAAGGAAAUGAAAUUCGCUGUGAGAUAGGCAUGCGUCCCAUUAGCUAGUUGGUGAGGUAACGGCUCACCAAGGCGACGAUAGGUAGGGGAACUGAGAGGUUGAACCCCCACACUGGUACUGAGACACGGACCAGACUCCUACGGGAGGCAGCAGUGAGGAAUAUUGGUCAAUGGGCGAGAGCCUGAACCAGCCAAGUAGCGUGAAGGAUGACUGUCUUAUGGAUUGUAAACUUCUUUUAUACGGGAAUAACAAGAGUCACGUGUGGCUCCCUGCAUGUACCGUAUGAAUAAGCAUCGGCUAACUCCGUG
rnacentral:rRNA from 1 species